rnacentral:rRNA from 1 species
UUAAGUGAAUAAGAGCGCACGGCGGAUGCCUUGGCACUAGGAGCCGAAGAAGGACGGGACGAACACCGAUAUGCUCCGGGGAGCUGUAAGUAAGCAAUGAUCCGGAGAUUUCCGAAUGGGGGAACCCAAUAUCCUUGAUCGGAUAUUAUGAAUAUAGUGAAUACAUAGCUAUGUUCAAGGAAGACGCGGCGAACUGAAACAUCUCAGUAGCCGCAGGAAGAGAAAGCAAAUGCGAUACCCUUAGUAGCGGCGAGCGAAAAGGGUACAGGCCAAACCAACAUGCUUGCAUGUUGGGGUUGUAGGACUGAAACAUAGGACUCAGCGAGUAAGCAAAAUAAUCUGGAAAGAUUAGCCACAGCAGGUGACAGCCCUGUAUGCGACUGCUCAAUGAGCCUUAUCAGAAUCCUGAGUACGGCGGGACACGAGAAAUCCCGUCGGAAUCCGGGUAGACCAUUACCCAAGCCUAAAUACUACCUAGUGACCGAUAGUGAACCAGUACCGUGAGGGAAAGGUGAAAAGAACCCCGGAAGGGGAGUGAAAUAGAACCUGAAACCGUGUGCUUACAAGUAGUCAGAGCCCGUUAAUGGGUGAUGGCGUACCUUUUGCAGAAUGGACCGGCGAGUUACGAUAACAUGCAAGGUUAAACCGAAGAGGUGGAGCCGCAGCGAAAGCGAGUCUGAAUAGGGCGUUCAGUAUGUUGUUGUAGACCCGAAACCAAGUGACCUAUCCAUGUCCAGGGUGAAAGUGCGGUGAAACGCACCGGAGGCCCGAACCCAAGUAUGUUGAAAAAUGCUGGGAUGAGGUGUGGAUAGCGGAGAAAUACCAAUCGAACUUGGAGAUAGCUGGUUCUCUCCGAAAUAGUUUUAGGACUAGCCUCGGAUUGAAACAAAUUGAAGGUAGAGCUACUGUUAGAACUAGGGCCCCUUAUCGGGGUACCGAAUUUUGAUAAACUCCGAAUUUCAAUUUUGUAGAUCCGGGAGUCACACUGCGAGCGCUAAGGUUCGUAGUGGAAAGGGAAACAGCCCAGACCGUCAACUAAGGCCCCCAAAUUCUUGUUAAGUGGAAAAGGAUGUGGGGCUGCUCAGACAACUAGGAUGUUGGCUUAGAAGCAGCCAUCAUUUAAAGAGUGCGUAAUAGCUCACUAGUCGAGUGGCCCUGCGCCGAAAAUGUACCGGGGCUAAACAAGAUGCCGAAGUUACGGAUGUAUCCUUAUGGGAUACGUGGUAGGAGAGCGUUCUAAGGGCAGUGAAGGUAAACCGUGAGGAUUGCUGGAGCGCUUAGAAGUGAGAAUGCCGGUAUGAGUAGCGCGACACAGGUGAGAAUCCUGUGCACCGAAAGACUAAGGUUUCCAGGGGAAGGCUCGUCCGCCCUGGGUUAGUCGGGACCUAAGCUGAGGCCAAACGGCGUAAGCGAUGGAUAGCAGGUGGAGAUUCCUGCACUAGUGAUAAUUGAUUGAACGAUGGAAGGACACAGUAGGCUAAGGUAAGCAUACAGCUGGUUUAGUAUGCCCAAGCAACAAGUCUUAGAAGGAGUCAAAUGCUUCUUCUUAUAAGGACAAGUUGUGAUGGGGAGGGAAGUUUAGUACCGAAGUACCCGAUGUCACACUGUCAAGAAAAUUUUCUAGUUAGAUUAUCACUACCCGUACCGCAAACCGACACAGGUAGUCGAGGAGAGUAUCCUAAGGUGAGCGAGAGAACUCUCGUUAAGGAACUCGGCAAAAUGACCCCGUAACUUAGGGAUAAGGGGUGCUGACCUCUGGUCAGCCGCAGUGAAUAGGCCCAAGCGACUGUUUAUCAAAAACACAGGUCUCUGCUAACUCGAAAGAGGAUGUAUAGGGGCUGACACCUGCCCGGUGCUGGAAGGUUAAGUGAAUAUGUUAGCGCAAGCGAAGCAUUGAAAUGAAGCCCCAGUAAACGGCGGCCGUAACUAUAACGGUCCUAAGGUAGCGAAAUUCCUUGUCGGGUAAGUUCCGACCCGCACGAAAGGUGUAACGAUUUGGGCACUGUCUCAACGAGAGACUCGGUGAAAUUAUAGUACCUGUGAAGAUGCAGGUUACCCGCGACAGGACGGAAAGACCCCAUGGAGCUUUACUGUAACUUGAUAUUGAAUGUCUACAUGAUUUGUACAGGAUAGGUAGGAGCCAAUGAAAUCUGGACGCUAGUCUAGAUGGAGGCGUAACUGGGAUACUACCCUAAUUGUGUGGCCAUUCUAACCCUCAACCGUGAUCCGGUUGGGAGACAGUGUCAGGUAGGCAGUUUGACUGGGGCGGUCGCCUCCCAAAAAGUAACGGAGGCGCCCAAAGGUUCCCUCAGAAUGGUUGGAAAUCAUUCGUAGAGUGCAAAGGCAGAAGGGAGCUUGACUGCGAGACUUACAAGUCGAGCAGGGACGAAAGUCGGGCUUAGUGAUCCGGUGGUUCCGCAUGGAAGGGCCAUCGCUCAACGGAUAAAAGCUACCCUGGGGAUAACAGGCUUAUCACUCCCAAGAGUUCACAUCGACGGAGUGGUUUGGCACCUCGAUGUCGGCUCAUCGCAUCCUGGGGCUGUAGUCGGUCCCAAGGGUUGGGCUGUUCGCCCAUUAAAGCGGUACGCGAGCUGGGUUCAGAACGUCGUGAGACAGUUCGGUCCCUAUCCGUCGCGGGCGUUGGAGAUUUGAAGAGAGCCAUCCUUAGUACGAGAGGACCGGGAUGGACACACCUCUGGUGUACCAGUUGUCAUGCCAAUGGCAUAGCUGGGUAGCUAUGUGUGGAAAGGAUAAACGCUGAAAGCAUCUAAGCGUGAAGCCCCCUUUAAGAUGAGAUCUCCCAUUCCUUUAAGGAAGUAAGACCCCUGAUAGACGAUCAGGUAGAUAGGCUGGAAGUGUAAGUAUAGCGAUAUAUUGAGCGGACCAGUACUAAUCGGUCGAGGACUUAACCAC